CUUCCUGAGGCCCACUUGACUUCACAUUCCAGGAUGUCUGGCUCUAGGGAAAUCUUAACCGGAACCACAUGUUUUGUGCAUUCAUACCAGAAGCCACUCUCCCCUUGUUGGUGGGUGCUUUGAAUUUCUCAGACCUGGUGAGGGGAAAAGAUGAUGCUGAUUCCCUUAUGUAAUGCUACUUUGUGCCUGUCAGAGAGAUAUUACCUAGAGCCAAACGAAACUGCAAGUUAAGCUCAAACUGAAUUAAGAUGGAGAUACACAAUGUCACAGAGAUGUAUGGGCAGCAAUUCAUUGCAGGAUCAAAUCCCUCACUGUGUGCUAACACUAAAGAUGCAAUAAGAGGAAUGACCAAGUUCUGAGUCUGCCCUGGUCUAGUUACCUAGGGCAGGAUGGCACUGGAGAACUGACCACAGAGGAAACCCCAGUUUUGGUUGAAUUAUGAGAAGAAGAAUUCUGAGAAUUUCAAGGAGAAUGUCCAACUGUAAGUGGAUUAGAAGGUAGCUUCUUGGGUUCCAACCACACUUCAUAAUAGAUCUAUGCAACUAGAAUAAUUCACGAGUGCCAACGAAUAUGUUGACAGUCGAAAAGGAUACAUAUGAAUAACAACUGGGUCUAUUUCCAAGCAGAAGUUGCUUUCCUGUUAAGAAAAAAAAAAAAAAGACCCAAACAAUGCUAAAGUUGUAUUUACUGUUGGUAUUUGGCCCAGGGCACAGAACCAUACAGAUUCUGCCCUGAAUCGGGAUCUCCACCCUUAAGACUAAAUGCAGAGGCAGUUGAACAAGGUAAAAUUGACACUGCAUUACCACCUGAGCCAUUUCACAUCAGGUCUUAAAACAUUCUUUGGAUAAAUUAAAUUAAACCUCUCACUGGAGAUUAUUUCUCUCUACUAGUGAAAGUCAAAAGUCUAGAACAAAUGUAAACUGAAAGAUUUCCUUUGUAGAUCAUACUCACUUUUAUAUCCAUUCAAUAUAUAUUGAUUUACACAUUUAAUGCAUCAGUUUGUUGAUUUAUGAUCCAAUUUUCUUGUAUGCAAGGUGGCACGAUAUACACAUAAGCACGAUUUGUAAUUGAAAAAGCUUGAGAAAAGAAACCCCAAAGUCCAUCAGUGAGGGUCAUUGACUAGAUUAUAAUUUACUUAUUCAAUAGAUUACUAUGCUACAAUAAAAAAAUAAAGAAUGGAAAAAUUUCUUAUGUCCUGAUAUGAAAAAUUCUCUGUAAAGUAUUAUGUAAAAAUGAGAAAUCAUAGAAAAGUGAGAUUUGGUGUCAAAUGGUGGAGAAUAUUUAUAUUUGCAUUGGAAGGACAUACUAAAAGUCUAAUAAAAAAGAUUAUUUUGGAGGAUACAAGAACAGAAAAGGAAGAUACAGUGAGAGUAAAAUUUACACUGUGGACCUUUUCUACAUUCCGUGAUUUUUUAUAAAUGCAAUACUGUUCAAAAAUUAAGUAUAUUUUAUUUGUAUCUAGUACUUAUUGUACUCCCUAAUAUUUACUUUUUAAAUUUCUUUCACAACUUUCAUAAAGUGUUUGUGACUCUUAAUAUAAACAAAGGAAGAAAUUUGUAAGAUAGCAUGGUUUCUAUGAAAGACAAGACUUGGAAUUAAACCCAUGGUCUACAUUAUCUAGUUGUAUGACCUAAUAAAAAUAAUGUAUUUUCCUAAAACUCUGUUUAAUAAAAUGAAAUUCAGAGUGUUUCAUCGGAUUGUUUUGAAGCUCAAAUUACAUAAUAUACAUUCAGAUAAAUGCAGUUUACUCUUGCUGUUACUACAGUUACUAGAAAAAUCAGUCUAAGAAAUAAUCUAUUUGGAGUUUUUCUAUAAAGAAAAAAUUCUAAUCUAGUCUUAUUUCUAUUAUUUUGUAUAUCUAUUUCAUCAGAACUCAUGGACUUCUUCUUGCCACUUAACCAAAGAUGUGUGUGCUUAUCCACUCCAUCAUCCUGGCAUAAGAGAAAUGUGAAAACACACCACAAAUGGUAUCCUAGAUAAAUGCAAAGGCAGAUAGGAAUAUAGCUCUUUAUUUUCUUGUCUCUGUUUUCUUCAUCUUUUUAAAAAGUAUUCACUUAUGUUUUAUUUUUAUUAUUUAUUUGGCUGUGCUGGGCCUUAGUUGUAGCAUGUGGGAACUUGUUCUCUGACCAGGGAUUGAACCCAGGCCCCCUGAACUGGGAGCAUAGAAUCUCAACCAGUGGACCACCAGAGAAGCCUCCUCACCUGCCAUUUGCUUCAUCUUUAAGGAACUCAGAGCAACUCCUGUGUCUGUAGUCUAGAGUCAGGUUUUGCCUGACUUGAGGUGAACUGAGACAUAUUUUAAUAAAUUGAGGAUUAGAAUUGCAGCUCCUAAAAGUGGACUCUUAUGCAUUGUCUGAGGUGGCAUUCCCACUGCACAAAAGAGAAACUGUCUUCCUGUCUCCUGAAAUCAGAGUCAGUUUAAAGACUUUCCUUAGAGUGGGCCAGAGAAGGAGAAAAAGAAUGAGAAGCUCUUAUUUUUAUCAUUACUACUGCUGGUGAGAACAAGAUUUAAAAACAACAGAGGGACUUCCCUGAUGGUCCUGUGGUAAAGAACCCAACUUCCAGUUCAGGGGACACAAGUUCUAUCCCUGGUCUGGGACUAAGAUCCCAUGUGCUGCAGGACACUAAGUUGGUGCACUGCAACAAAUGUCCUGUGGUCACAGUUAAGACCAGUGCAGCCAGAUAAAUAAAUAUUAAAAAAGAGAAAAAGGAAUGGCAGGUGCAGUGGGUGAUAAUGCUUCUGUAGCCCUGGGCUUUACAAAACUGUGAGGGGCGCUGCAGAACCGAGGAGCUGCACUACUGAGACAAGAGUUCUUUCUCACCUUAGCUUUGUUGCAUUUUGAUCCUUAUUAAAAAUCUCCUUCAUUUGAAUUUAGCAUCACUCCUCAGACAGUGCCCAACAGGGCUUUGCCCAGACAUACUCUUCAAGAGCUCACAGCCUUCCACAAGAUGCUAGCUAAGUUGAUUGCUAACAUCAUGGCUGCCUUCAUGACGCCUUCUUCACUGGGCGUGGCCCUCGGAAACAGAGAACUGUAUUGCCCAAGGCUAGGCCCCUUGUCUGUCUGCUGUCAGAGUGCAGAGACCCAUUAUCUUAAGCUGGGAUAAUUCUGAAGAGCCAUCCAGUUCUCCAUACAAUUGGCAGAAUACUCCAUUGUACCACACAGAGGGUCAACUUCUUCCUCUCUCUCAAUUCCUACCUUCCUCAUUUCCUAACAGAAGUAGCUACCAGUGCCUCUUCCCAACAAACCUUCCAAAUACAGUCUGUGUCUGAGUCUGUUUCAGAGAACACAGCCUAAGAAAGGCAUGCUAGUUAUCAUCAGUGAUGGCAGAGGUGGCUGUGUUUGACAUUAACUACUCCUCAGAUCAUGAAUGAAUAAGUUGUUGUUCAGUUAGUUGUGUCCAACUCUUUGCAACCUCAUGGACCCCAUGAACCCCAUGCCAGGCCUCCCUGUCUUUCACUAUCUCCCAGAGAUUGCUCAGUUUCCUCCAAACUGAAGUGUACUGAUAUACAGGAUCAAUUUUGUUUAUUUUCUGCCCACAGUCAUUCAUUCAUUCCAAGGGAUUUCUUCUACAUUGGACUACAAUCUUCAAGCUCAGAGGACACUAUUGAAAACCCUCAGAGUAGUCAUUACCAGAGAGCAUUGUUCUCCAGAUAGAUUGUUCUUUUAGAGUUUCUAGGCAGGAUCUAAUUAAUAAUGAAUUCAUCUUCAAAUGUUGUCAUGCAUUUUGCUUUCUGUUUGUUCCAGAACAAUACCAAUCCCAAGGUUGAUCUUGGAGUUUCUAAUAUCUUCCACAAAUUUCAGGUCAAUAUCUGAUUAGGUCACAUAUAGAAAAUUUGUCUGAUUUACUUCAAAAGAGAUAGAAGUUAUAUUCUUAUGGCUACUGUUAUGGAAUUGAAAAUGAUAUUUAUUUUUUUUUUCUGAAUAAUGACAGACUCAUAACCAUUAUUAAAUGAUAGCUUAAAUUCCACAAUAUACCAGAGACCUCUUCUCACUGGACCAUUUUCUUCCUGAUUGUCUUCAGUUUUGAAAUUCUGGUAGUCAAUUAAGUCAUUGUGACUUAGUAAAUGCUAAUAUAUGGACUUAAUUUCCCUUACUGAUUUCAUACUUCCCAAAGCUGACUAAAAGACUUUUAAAGACAUUUUUAUGUUACUCUAUAUUCACUAGAGUGUUUAGCAUAGUGGUUAUAACUUAUGCCAGUUGUAAUAGUGACAUGCAGUUCAUCUGUAAAAAACCGAGUCUGAAAUCUAAGUGGUACUAAUUACAACUUUCUACUCUAUAGAGAGGAACUAUAGGGUUGUGGUUAGGGAGGGGCACUCUAACAGCAAAUUUGAGUUCAAAUCCCAGGACCACAAGAUUCCAGCUGUUGACUUUGGCAAAUCAUUUAAUAUCCUUGAACUUCAAUUUUCUCUUCUUUAAAAGCUGCACAGUAAGAGUUCUUAUUGCUCAGAAUUACUGGACAUAUUAAUGGCUCAUUUAAUAAAUAAAAAUAUUUACUGCAGUGAUUGAUGAAUACUUAUUCUUAUUAUAUUGAAAUAUUACAACACAAGUUCAGAUUCACUGUUACAAAGAAAAGACUAUAGUAUUACAUGUUAUUGUUCUUGUUUAGUUGCUAAGUUGUGUCCAAUUCUUUGUGACCACGUGUACUAGCCCACCAGGCUCCUCUGUCCAUGGGAUAUUCCAGCAAGAAUACUGGAGUGGGUUGCCAUUUCCUACUGGGUGGGAUCUUCCCCACCCAGGGAAGGAACCUGUGUUUCCUGCAUUGGCAGGCAGAUUCUUUACCGCUGAGCCACCAGAAGUCUGCAGUGUUAUACGUAAACAGUAUUAAAAACCAAACACUUUUCUAUUUAACAUCUUUCUGAUUUUUUUUUCUAGUUAAAAUGACCUGGGUUUAUAAACAAAAUGAAAUAUUUUUUAGGGACAGAACGAUGUCAUAACAUGGUCAUGGGGACCUUCCUUCCAGACUGACAAAAUAUAGGACAUUCUGCCCAAGGGAGGAGAAAAAUGUGUUUCUGUUCCCAUUUUUCAUGCUACGUGUUCACCAUCUGACCUUUUCCAUCUGACUUCACUGUGCCAUGAUUUGCUAUGAACUCCCCAGAAAACCGAGUUUCAUCUUCAUUGUGUCUUAUACUAACUGUGAACCAAGAUGUCUCAUUUCUUCAUCCUCCAGUCUUUCAUUUUUCCUAAGUGAGGCUGGAGAAGGGUCUGAAGGGGAUCCAUGGGGUUAGUUGCCUUUUGCUGUGUUACAAACUACCACAAAUUUAGCAACUUGAAACAUCAAAUAUUUACUAUCUCAUAGUUUCUCCAGGUCAGAUAUCUGGGCAUGAUUUAGGAGGGUACUUCUGGCUAAAAGUCUCUUAGGAGGUGGUUGUUAGAUGGUCAGUCAAAGCUGAGGUUUCAUCUAAUGGCUUUCCUGAGGAAGUCCACUCCCAAACUGCUUAGCAUAGUUAUUCAAAUUCAGUUCCUCUGGGGUUGUUACACUGAGAGUCUCAGAGGCUUUCAUAAUGUUGUCUGAAGGUUUCCUUCUUGUCACAAGGGUGUCUCCAUAGAGCAAGGGACAAGAUAGUGUAUGUGACAUUUUAUCACCCCUGCAGACUUCUGUUCUCUAGAAGCAAGUCAAGUCCAGCUUUCACUCAAGUGAAGAGAUUGCAGAAGGACAUGAGUACUGGGAAGCAGGGCUCAUAGAGAUCAUCCAAGAGACUGCCUAACAAAUCAGUCAUGAUUGAGACACGAUUUACCAGCUGCAUCUAUAGAAACAUGCUAAAAACAAUGCUGCUUCUUUAUAAAUGAUACAAGUUUUGAAGAAAUAUUUUCUCUGAUGUCUAUUAUAAUAAUUUCCCGAACCUCCCUUAUUUGUAUACAUUUAGUCAAAAUUAUAGCAUUUUAAUGAUUGUCUGGAGCACUGUGAUUCAUAACGUGGACUGGAAAUGAGAGGACUUGUUUAUUUUUAUCCCAGAUGCCUCAUGUACUUACUGUUGACUCUCACUUAGAAAGUCGCUACAUAGCAGUCUCUUUCUCAUCUGUAAAAAAGGCGGCAACAAUUUUAGCUUACAAAUAGUUGGACUAUGAAUAACAUUUUUUAAAGGACACUUUACAGAGUGCUUUGAAAUCAUCUAAGUGGUCUUAAUACCAGUAAAUUUUAAACAACAACAGAAACAACAAAGGUCACUCUUGCACUUGAAGUUCCAAGAUCUAUGUUAAGAUGUGUAAGAAAAAUUUACCAGCAGAAAGUUCUUGAUUCCCCUUACUUGACUUUCCUGUAAUUUUAAGAUGACUUUGGGGAUCCUAUUCUUACCUGUAUUUCAUUUAUAAAUAAGAUGUAAAAUAGUAGAACAAAUGAUCAACUCAAUAAUAUUAACUCAAAGCGAGAACUAAUUUUGGUGCCAGUUACUUCAUACCCUGCCAUUCCAUUUUUUUUGUCUUAAAUAUGAGCUUUGUGGACAUUUAAUGACAGCUAUCUCAACUUGGAAAUGCAAAGCCAAUAUAUCUUAAAAUAAAAACAGACUCUUCAAGUCAUAUUUUGGCAUUACAAAGUUAAAAUUAGAUCCCACUUCAAACAGGCUUCUUUAAUUAGGAAAUAUCCCAAACAAAAGACCUCACUUCCCAAGGAACAUUGAACCAUUAUGCUAAUUGAAAUGGCCACUGUAUAAGUCUUGGGUGGAUCUGAAGAAAGUUGUUAUUCUGGCCUGAGUUUCCAACCACACUCAUUUUGCUAAAUUGCAUUUCUUUAGGAGACCAGCCUGAUAGGCUACAAGUGUUACUAAUUCUAUUAAAUACCCCCCCCCUUCAUUAUUCUU